AUUGAACGCUGGCGGCAGGCCUAACACAUGCAAGUCGAACGGAGCGGCGGACGGGUGAGUAAUUCCUAGGCAUCUGCCUGGUCGUGGGGGAUGAAGUCCGGAAACGAGCGCUAAUACCGAAUACUUUCAGACGAGCAUAGGUCGGAUUCGUUAGCUGGUGGGGUAAAGGCCUACCAAGGCGACGAUCCGUAGCUGGUCUGAGAGGAUGAUCAGUCACACUGGAACUGAGACACGGUCCAGACUCCUACGGGAGGCAGCAGUGGGGAAUAUUGGACAAUGGGCGAAAGCCUGAUCCAGCCAUGCCGCGUGUGUGAAGAAGGUCUUCGGAUUGUAAAGCACUUUAAGUUGGGAGGCGUUACCAACAGAAUAAGCACCGGCUAACUUCGUGCCAGCAGCCGCGGUAAUUC
rnacentral:rRNA from 1 species